rnacentral:rRNA from 1 species
ACGGGGGGUGCAAGCGUUGUUCGGAAUUAUUGGGCGUAAAGAGCGUGUAGGCGGCUGAAUAAGUCAGAUGUGAAAUCCGUGGGCUUAACCGAGGAAGUGCAUUUGAAACUAUUCAUCUUGAGUAGGUCUGACGAAAGUGGAAUUCCUGGUGUAGAGGUGAAAUUCGUAGAUAUCACGCAGAACACCGAUGGCGAAGGCGGGUUGCUAGCCCUCAACUGACGCUGAGGCGCGAGAGCGUGGGGAGCAAACAG